rnacentral:rRNA from 1 species
AGAGUUUGAUUAUGGCUCAGAACGAACGCUUGCUGCAUGCUUUAUACAUGCAAGUCGAACGGAGGCCCUAGCUUGCUAGGUGUCCUUAGUGGCGCACGGGUGAGUAACACGUGGGAACAUACCUUAUAGUACGGAAUAACUGCGGGAAACUGUAGCUAAUACCGUAUACUCCAGUAAUGGGAAAGAUUUAUCGCUAUAAGAUUGGCCCGCGCAAGAUUAGCUUGUUGGUGAGGUAAAAGCUCACCAAGGCUUCGAUCUUUAGCUGGUUUGAGAGGACGAUCAGCCACACUGGGACUGAGACACGGCCCAGACUCCUACGGGAGGCAGCAGUGGGGAAUUUUCCGCAAUGGGCGAAAGCCUGACGGAGCAAUACCGCGUGAGGGAUGAAGGAUUUUGGUCUGUAAACCUCUUUUCUCAAGAAAGAAGUUCUGACGGUACUUGAGGAAUAAGCAUCGGCUAACUCCGUGCCAGCAGCCGCGGUAAUACGGGGGAUGCAAGCGUUAUCCGGAAUCAUUGGGCGUAAAGCGCCUGUAGGUUGUUUAAUAAGUCUGUUGUUAAAGACUAGGGCUCAACCCUAGAAAAGCAAUGGAAACUACUAGACUAGAGUAUGGCAGGGGUAGAGGGAAUUUCUAGUGUAGCGGUGAAAUGCGUAGAUAUUAGAAAGAACACCGGUGGCGAAAGCGCUCUACUGGACCAUUACUGACACUCAGAGGCGAAAGCUAGGGUAGCAAAAGGGAUUAGAUACCCCUGUAGUCCUAGCCGUAAACGAUGGAUACUACAUGUUGUGCAUUAUGUACAGUAUGGUAGCUAACGCGUUAAGUAUCCCGCCUGGGGAGUACGCUCGCAAGGGUGAAACUCAAAGGAAUUGACGGGGGCCCGCACAAGCGGUGGAGCAUGUGGUUUAAUUCGAUGCAACGCGAAGAACCUUACCAAGGCUUGACAUACUACAAAUUUUUCUGAGAAGAAAAAGUGCCUUCGGGAAUGUAGAUACAGGUGGUGCAUGGCUGUCGUCAGCUCGUGUCGUGAGAUGUUGGGUUAAGUCCCGCAACGAGCGCAACCCUUGUUUUUAGUUGCCUUUAUGGAACUCUAAAAAGACUGCCGGUUAUAAACCGGAGGAAGGUGGGGAUGACGUCAAGUCAUCAUGCCCCUUACACCCUGGGCUACACACGUGCUACAUUGGGCGAGACAAUGAGAUGCAAAUCUGUGAAGACUAGCUAAUCUAUAAACUCGUUCUAAGUUCGGAUUGUAGGCUGCAACUCGCCUACAUGAAGGUGGAAUCGCUAGUAAUCGCUGGUCAGCUAUACAGCGGUGAAUACGUUCCCGGGCCUUGUACACACCGCCCGUCACACCAUGGAAGCUGGUUAUACCCGAAGUCGUCACUCUAACCGUUUGGAGGAGUAUGCCUAAGGUAGAAUUAGUGACUGGGGUGAAGUCGUAACAAGGUAACCGUACUGGAAGGUGCGGUUG